rnacentral:rRNA from 1 species
UACAGAGGUCUCAAGCGUUGUUCGGAUUCAUUGGGCGUAAAGGGUGCGUAGGCGGCUUGUCACGUCGGGUGUGAAAGACCGGGGCUUAACUCCGGUUCUGCAUUCGAUACGGGCUAGCUAGAGUGUGGUAGGGGAGAUCGGAAUUCCUGGUGUAGCGGUGAAAUGCGCAGAUAUCUGGAGGAAUACCGGUGGCGAAGGCGGCAUCCUGGACCGACAUUGACGCUGAGGAGCGAAAGCCAGGGGAGCAAACGGG